rnacentral:rRNA from 1 species
CGUGUAGGCGGAGAAGCAAGUCAGAAGUGAAAUCCAUGGGCUUAACCCAUGAACUGCUUUUGAAACUGUUUCCCUUGAGUAUCGGAGAGGCAGGCGGAAUUCCUAGUGUAGCGGUGAAAUGCGUAGAUAUUAGGAGGAACACCAGUGGCGAAGGCGGCCUGCUGGACGACAACUGACGCUGAGGCGCGAAAGUGUGGGUAGCAAACA